UACGUAGGGUGCAAGCGUUGUCCGGAAUUAUUGGGCGUAAAGAGCUCGUAGGCGGUCUGUCGCGUCGGCUGUGAAAACCCGAGGCUCAACCUCGGGCCUGCAGUCGAUACGGGCAAACUAGAGUACUGCAGGGGAGACUGGAAUUCCUGGUGUAGCGGUGAAAUGCGCAGAUAUUGGGAGGAAUACCGGUGGCGAAGGCGGCUCCCUGGACCGGUACUGACGCUGAGGCGCGAAAGCGUGGGUAGCAAACAGG
rnacentral:rRNA from 1 species